GCAUGGCUCUGGCUGACUCCAUAAAAGAGCCAAGUCACACAGCCAUUUUCUCAGUCUUGUCUUCUCUCGCUUGCUUGCUGCUCUCCUGCAGCCAUUUUGUUCUCUUCAUGUAAUUUUGCUGUCUGCUGGCUCUCAGCUAGCAGCACAUGAGCUCAAUCUCCAUGUGAGAUGAACUCACAGAUUGUUAUGUAACUAACUAAGUAAAGCCUGCCUUUCAGAGAUCAAAUCUUGAACUGAAAUGCCUUAGUCCAACACUCUACCCAGCUGUCAACAACAGGGUGCAUUCCAGAUGUUGCCGAACUACAACUCUUGUCAUCCCUGGACUUAAGCCAUGCUGGGAAUCUAACAGCAUCAGGAAAGCGCCACAUUGACGUCUUCACUGGAGUGAAUUGUUUAACAAGAGAAGCAUCAGAAGAGCAACGAGGUUCUAUCAGGGCUCCCCAACACCCCUCUGAAGAUGUGGAUAUCUGUGAAGACAAUCUGGACCUCUCACUCGUUUGGCAUAAGAGGUCAGUGUAUAAACAGAUCGCCAGUGUCCCCAGCCACAAGAAAACUAGCAGGACACUCACAAAUGCAAAACACAACCCACAAAUCACCUUUGCA